rnacentral:rRNA from 1 species
AUUGAACGCUGGCGGCAGGCCUAACACAUGCAAGUCGAGCGGAUGAGAAGAGCUUGCUCUUCGAUUCAGCGGCGGACGGGUGAGUAAUGCCUAGGAAUCUGCCUGGUAGUGGGGGACAACGUUUCGAAAGGAACGCUAAUACCGCAUACGUCCUACGGGAGAAAGCAGGGGACCUUCGGGCCUUGCGCUAUCAGAUGAGCCUAGGUCGGAUUAGCUAGUUGGUGAGGUAAUGGCUCACCAAGGCGACGAUCCGUAACUGGGCUGAGAGGAUGAUCAGUCACACUGGAACUGAGACACGGACCAGACUCCUACGGGAGGCAGCAGUGGGGAAUAUUGGACAAUGGGCGAAAGCCUGAUCCAGCCAUGCCGCGUGUGCGAAGAAGGUCUUCGGAUUGUAAAGCACUUUAAGUUGGGAGGAAGGGCAGUAAGUUAAUACCUUGCUGUUUUGACGUUACCGACAGAAUAAGCACCGGCUAACUCUGUGCCAGCAGCCGCAGUAAUAC